rnacentral:lncRNA from 1 species
UUUGCCCCUUUUAACCUCUACCACAUAUGCCCUCCCCUGGUUUCAAUCUCCUCCUGCUAAAGUCAUUAUAUGGGAAAGUUCCAGCCUUUAUUGGUUUUCAUGCUGCUUGUCAUGUGAAUGGAUCAUGUGUAACUUAGAAGGUUUUUGACCAUGGAAAUGGAUUCUCCGGUAGAAUACAUCACUUUCACCGUGAUCACCAAAGGGGGUGUAAGAAAAUCAGGAUUUGAUUCGCUCCUUUUGAAAUAAAUUCU